AUGGAGGUACUCUGUGCCCACUGCCCUCUGCUACAGGGGCCCUCUCCCUGCGCCGGGCACCUGCUGGGCUCUUUUGGGCCUCCCCGCCCUUGCCUGCCCCCUUUCCUUUCUUCUGUGGUGCAGCCUUCAGCUCAGCAUCACCUGGGCUGGGAAGCCUUGGCUCUUCUCCUGCGUCCCUGGUGGGAAACGCUGUCCCUGUCGAAGGACGGAAGCCACUCCCCAAACAGCGGCCCCAGGAAACAGGUAAUACAACCACCGGAUCGCACAGAUGACGCUUUGAACAAAAGCAUCAUUCACUUCCCGGGGCUUUGACCAUUGUUACGCGGGAGCUGUACUGAACACACCAGCUGUUUUUUCUUUCCUCUCAUCUGUGCAUCGGAAUUGAGCAAUCUUAUGAUCUGGGGAGAGCAGGAAAUGAUUUCCGGCUGGAUCCAUUACAAAGGAAAGCAAGGUCCAUGGUGAGCGAUCAAUAUAUGCUCUCCCAAGGACUAUAAUGAAAUACUUCCUGGGGGGAAUAAAUCUAGGGAUGAUUGUCCUCAAAGCGCUUUUACUCCUGGAAGGAAACUAGAGAGGGAUUGUGGUCUUUGCAAAUAGUGAGCUCAGUCAUCCCAGGGAGUUUUCUAGGGAGCAGCACCCGGGUUUGGGGAAACCGCUUCUUCUCUACUGGUAUCCUCCCCGGUGCUCUCCCUUCCCUCUUGCCUGCCAACUGCACC
rnacentral:lncRNA from 1 species